rnacentral:rRNA from 1 species
GACGAACGCUGGCGGCGUGCCUAAAACAUGCAAGUCGAACGAGGUAGCAAUACCUAGUGGCGAACGGCGGAGUAAUACAUAAGCAACGUGCCCUGAAGACUGGGAUAGCCCGGGGAAACCCGGAGUAAUACCGGAUGUGGCCGCUGAGAGACAUCUCUUAGCGAUUAAAUGGUUUUUCGCUUCAGGAGCGGCUUAUGGCCUAUCAGGUAGUUGGUGGGGUAACAGCCUACCAAGCCGACGACGGGUAGCGGGUCUAAGAGGAUGAUCCGCUCGAGUGGGACUGAGACACGGCCCACACACCUACGGGUGGCAGCAGUUGGGAAUCUUGCACAAUGGGGGAAACCCUGAUGCAGCGACGCCGCGUGGAGGAUGACGGAUCUAGGUCUGUAAACUCCUUUUUCAUGGAAAGACUUAGGACGGUACCAUGAGAAUAAGCUCCGGCUAACUACGUGCCAGCAGCGCGGUAAGGUGCGCGAGU